rnacentral:rRNA from 1 species
AGUGAACGCUGGCGGUAGGCCUAACACAUGCCAGUCGAAUGGCAGCACAGUAAGAGCUUGCUCUUACGGGUGGCGAGUGGCGGACGGGUGAGGAAUACAUCGGAAUCUACUUUUUCGUGGGGGAUAACGUAGGGAAACUUACGCUAAUACCGCAUACGACCUACGGGUGAAAGCAGGGGAUCUUCGGACCUUGCGCGAUUGAAUGAGCCGAUGUCGGAUUAGCUAGUUGGCGGGGUAAAGGCCCACCAAGGCGACGAUCCGUAGCUGGUCUGAGAGGAUGAUAAGCCACACUGGAACUGAGACACGGUCCAGACUCCUACGGGAGGCAGCAGUGGGGAAUAUUGGACAAUGGGCGCAAGCCUGAUCCAGCCAUACCGCGUGGGUGAAGAAGGCCUUCGGGUUGUAAAGCCCUUUUGUUGGGAAAGAAAAGCAGCAGGUUAAUACCCCGCUGUUCUGACGGUACCCAAAGAAUAAGCACCGGCUAACUUCGUG